rfam:Tupaia chinensis contig80542, whole genome shotgun sequence.
GUGACUGUUCCUGGUACUGAUUGCAUUUGUUAGCUGUACAGUGCAACCAUAGGCAGUCACGCACAUCAGAGCGCACGGUUCCUGCCGACAGGGUCUGUACAGUCAUCAGAUGUCCUGUGCGAUGGUGCCGUACAUG